rnacentral:rRNA from 1 species
CCUACGGGAGGCAGCAGUGAGGAAUAUUGGUCAAUGGGCGCGAGCCUGAACCAGCCAAGUCGCGUGAGGGAAGACGGUCCUAUGGAUUGUAAACCUCUUUUGUCGGGGAGCAAAAGACGCCACGCGUGGCGUUCCGAGAGUACCCGAAGAAACAGCAUCGGCUAACUCCGUGCCAGCAGCCGCGGUAAUACGGAGGAUGCGAGCGUUAGCCGGAUUUAUUGGGUUUAAAGGGUGCGCAGGCGGAAGAUCAAGUCAGUGGGAAAAUUGAGAGGCUCAACCUCUUCGGGCCGUUGAAACUGGUUUUCUUGAGUGAGUGAGAGGUAUGCGGAAUGCGUGGUGUAGCGGUGAAAUGCAUAGAUAUCACGCAGAACUCCGAUUGCGAAGGCAGCAUACCGGCGCUCAACUGACGCUCAUGCACGAAAGUGUGGGUAUCGAACAGGAUUAGAUACCCGAGUAGUC